rfam:Ictidomys tridecemlineatus contig094783, whole genome shotgun sequence.
GGGGCUAUAGCUUAGUGGCAAAGUACCUGCCUGGCAUGCAUGAAGCACUGGGUUCAAUCCUCAGCACCACCU